AGUGAACGCUGGCGGUAGGCCUAACACAUGCAAGUCGAACGGCAGCACAGUAAGAGCUUGCUCUUACGGGUGGCGAGUGGCGGACGGGUGAGGAAUACAUCGGAAUCUACUUUUUCGUGGGGGAUAGCGUAGGGAAACUUACGCUAAUACCGCAUACGACCUACGGGUGAAAGCAGGGGAUCUUCGGACCUUGCGCGAUUGAAUGAGCCGAUGUCGGAUUAGCUAGUUGGCGGGGUAAAGGCCCACCAAGGCGACGAUCCGUAGCUGGUCUGAGAGGAUGAUCAGCCACACUGGAACUGAGACACGGUCCAGACGCCUACGGGAGGCAGCAGUGGGGAAUAUUGGACAAUGGGCGCAAGCCUGAUCCAGCCAUACCGCGUGGGUGAAGAAGGCCUUCGGGUUGUAAAGCCCUUUUGUUGGGAAAGAAAAGCAGCAGGUUAAUACCCCGCUGUUCUGACGGUACCCAAAGAAUAAGCACCGGCUAACUUCGUG
rnacentral:rRNA from 1 species